rnacentral:rRNA from 1 species
CUCGUCUGUUAACAAUUACAUAGUGAAACUGCGAAUGGCUCAUUAUAUAAGUUAUCGUUUAUUUGAUAGUUCCUUACUACUUGGAUAACCGUGGUAAUUCUAGAGCUAAUACAUGCUAAAAACCCCGACUUCGGAAGGGGUGUAUUUAUUAGAUUAAAAACCAAUGCCCUUCGGGGCUCACUGGUGAUUCAUAAUAACUUCUCGAAUCGCAUGGCCUUGCGCCGGCGAUGGUUCAUUCAAAUUUCUUCCCUAUCAACUUUCGAUGCUAGAGUAGUGUUCUAGCAUGGUUACAACGGGUAACGGAGGGUUAGGGCUCGACCCCGGAGAAGGAGCCUGAGAAACGGCUACUACAUCCAAGGAAGGCAGCAGGCGCGCAAAUUACCCAAUCCCGACACGGGGAGGUAGUGACGAUAAAUACUGAUACAGGGCUCUUUUGGGUCUUGUAAUUGGAAUGAGUACAAUUUAAAUCCCUUAACGAGGAACAAUUGGAGGGCAAGUCUGGUGCCAGCAGCCGCGGUAAUUCCAGCUCCAAUAGCGUAUAUUAAAGUUGUUGUGGUUAAAAAGCUCGUAGUAGAACCUUGGGCCUGGCUGGCCGGUCCGCCUCACCGCGUGCACUGGUCCGGCCGGGCCUUUCCCUCUGUGGAACCGCAUGCCCUUCACUGGGUGUGCCGGGGAAACAGGACUUUUACUUUGAAAAAAUUAGAGUGCUCCAGGCAGGCCUUUGCUCGAAUACAUUAGCAUGGAAUAAUAGAAUAGGACGUGUGGUUCUAUUUUGUUGGUUUCUAGGACCGCCGUAAUGAUUAAUAGGGACAGUCGGGGGCAUCAGUAUUCAAUUGUCAGAGGUGAAAUUCUUGGAUUUAUUGAAGACUAACUACUGCGAAAGCAUUUGCCAAGGAUGUUUUCUUUAUCAGGAACGAAAGUAAGGGGAUCGAAGACGAUCAGAUACCGUCGUAGUCUUACCAUAACUAUGCCGACUAGGGAUCGGACGAUGUAAUUUUUGACCCUUCGGACCUUAC